UGAUGCCUUGAUGCUAAAAUGACAUCACAGCAUUUAAACAUGUUUUGGAUGAAAACAUCAGCAUAUGAAAACAGAACUGAAGAGACACUGCAACCAAAGCAGACGACUAGUGAAAUUUCUACGUUUCCCUGAGGAUUAACUGCUCUGCAAUUUACCAAGAACUAAAGUAAGCUCAGAUUUCAGUUUAUAAACUUAAGAUCAUUUACUUAAAUAUAAAGCCUGAUUUUCCUGCUGGCCAGGACAGUAUUUAUGUACUUUACAUUGUGAGAAACUGAGGCUACGUCCACAUGUACACGGCUAUGUUUGAAGCUUUGUCUAUGCAUUUGGGCCUCUCGUCCACACCUAAACAGCAUAUUGAGUCACUGAAAGGUGAGAUUUUUAAAAACUCCUGCCAGGGUGGAGAUUUUUGAAAAGUACGUUUUUGUGUUUAUGUGUGGACGAGGAAAACGGAGAUUUACUCAGGCAAUGUCAAAAGUGUGCGCCGUUUUUGACGUCACGCUGUGGCCACGUUAUUGUUUACAUCAGAUCAAUUUCUACAAUGGCUGAUGUAGACAAAAUACUGUUGCUGUUAAUCUUAGUAAUUUACAAAAAAUUACAUUUAUGUAUGCUAUAUGCAUUUUGUCAAAAAAAGCAAAUUCGCUGAACAUUCUGAGUUGAGGUUUAAUGAUCAUUGUUGUUUUGUGUUCCUUGUAGUCAAAAUGAAUGGAAGAGGAGAUGAAUCACAAAAUAACCGUAAUGGCCGACAGGUUAACCCAGAAAAUCUUCCAAGUGGAGAUCAGGAACCAGCUUAUGAACCAGUUUAUGAAGCAGCUUAUGAACCUGUUGGUGGAUUCUGGGGUUUACUGAACAGUCUUCAUCGUGCUCUCUAUAAUAUCUAUUUUUCGAGGCUGAAUGAGCUGUUAGAUGAAUUAGAGGAACAAUAUGAUGUCUUUGACAUUGAUAAUCUCAAUGACGGCAAUGUUAACAAUGUAAACAUUAACAAUAUUAAUGUGAGAGACAAUAAUGCCAAUGUUGACAACAAUGAACUGGAUGAUGAUCAUAAUGAUGUUGUUGUCGACAUUGAAAAUGAUGAUUCUGAUGAGGCAUUUGAAGACUGUGAGGAUGUUCACCAGUACAUCCCAGAAGAGGAUCCUCAGCCAGGUGUAUCCAGGAGGAGGCCUAGAGAGAUGGAUGAAGAAGAUCUGGAACCAAACAAAAGAUUCAGAUGGAGCGAGGAGUUUUCUGAUGACGACUCUGACUUCAUCUCUGCCUGUGACACUGAUAGCGAGGGCUGUCCUCAUGCUGGUAAUAUUGCUGAUGAGGACAUCAAUCAGCAGGUACCAGAAGAAGAACAGCUGCCUGUUGGAUCCACGAAAAGGUCCAGAAAGGAAGAUGGAGAUGAAGAAGAGCCUAAUAGCAAAAAGUCCAGGCUUGCAAACUCCGAGAGCAGUAGUGAUGAACUUUUUGAAGACGCACUUGAAGAGCUUGACAACCAUGAAACUGGAGGCUCGAGGAAGCGGUCCCGAGAGGAUUUUGAGGAAGAAGAGGAAAACUCGCAUGUUUGCAAAUUUCGGAGGUGUUCAGAUGAGUCCACCAGCACCAGUGAUGACAACUAACACUAUUCCGACGGCGUUUUCAGUAUCCUUUUAGUAGGCUGAUGGCCUACUCAUGUGACCCUGAAUCUUCCUUGCAGGCUGCAAUAAGCUGGGCAUACACUGUGCGAUUUCUUCAGUCGCGUUAUUCAGCUCCUGCUCAAACUGUCCGAUUGACUCGCAGGGGCUAGAAGUUCGUAGGUCACGAUGCAGGGUCUCACACUAUACGGCCCGAUGCUCUGUGCGACCUGAGUGCUCACACUGUGCGUCCAUAGCACGAAGGUUAAAACACAAAAUCUUACACUAUUUUCACGGUUGUUGCAGUCGCGAUAAUUUUGUGAGGUCACGUCGAAAAGGCUCUGAUGACCUUGCCAAAGUUCUACAAGUCGUGCCUCCAUCGCUUGUGUCCGGAUCACACGUCGCACUGCCGUGCUGUUCCGUCUUUUCGCUUUUAUUUCUGUGUUUGCGCGUGCGCAGUGUGAGACGCUGCGUUGACACCCUCACGAUGGCCGACAGGAUUUCAAACAGGUUUGAUUUCCUUACGACCAAACGAUUGAUGAUUGGGAGCUGGUCGUGAGGUGUUAAUCGCUUCUCGUUACCCCAUUUAUACGAUGCACGACACGUGAUUAAGGCCAAACUCGGGCCGAUCCCCAAAACGGUCGCACGACUGAAAAAUCGGCUCAAAAUGGGCCAAAAAUCGCACAGUAUAUGCCCAGCAUUAGGCUGCCGGGGGAUUCCCAUCAUGCACUGGGUGUUUCUUCUUCACCCUCUAUGUGUUAAUAGACCUCUCUGUGCUGAAUUGUACUUGUUUUUAACCUCUGUCUCUCUUCCACAGCAUGUUUUUAUCCUGUUUUCCUUGCCCCUUCCCAACCGGUCGCAGCAGAUGGCCGCCCCUCCCUGAGCCUGGUUCUGCUGGAGGUUUCUUCCUGUUAAAAGGGAGUUUUUCCUUCCCACUGUCGCCAAAGUGCUUGCUCAUAGGGGGUCAUUUGAUUGUUGGGUUUUUCUUUGUAAGUAUACCUUACAAUAUAAAGCGCCUUGAGGAGACUGUUGCUGUCAUUUGGCGCUCUAUAAAUAAAAUUGAAUUGAAUUGAAAAUUGAAUGGAUGUCACUGUGUAGAGAUAUUCCCUCCAUAGAAGGCUUAGACCCAAAUGCAGAUUCAAUGCACAUGGUUAAACUAUUUAUAAGACUUUGUUUAAAGAGAGGGAAUGGAGAACGUGGCUAGAGCUAGGAGUGUCAGCAGAGAGCAGGAACCAGAGGAAAAGCUAUCAAGAGACUGAUCACCUGGGUCGUGAUGGGAACAAUCCAACGGGAAUUCUCCAUCCAUCAGUCAGCGUGAUGCCUAAAACUUUAUUCAGAUGUAAAUAUAUUACAUUUUUAAAUAAAGAUCAUUGAAUAUGAAAAAAAUCAUCAGUGUUUUUAAUGACACUGCAUUUCAUUCAUGUGUCUCUAUUGGACAGUGUUGUAGAAGUUACAGGAGAUAGGAAUCAGUUCCAGCUUGGCCUGAUGUUUGAUCACGUUUGGUUGUACUGGCUUUGAGCCUGCUUGUGAUACGC
ensembl:lncRNA